UUCUAUUAAUAGCUUAUAUAUGAGGUUGGAAAGUACGAACAACAGUUUAAACACCAAAGAAUUUGGCGGUGUCCUAAAUAAUUAGGGGAACCUGUCCCAUAAAUCGAUAAUCCACGAAAGUCUUACUUAAUUUUGAAACUCAGUUAGUGUACUGCCGUCUCAAGUAUACCUUUAUGAGAGUAUACAACUUAUUUAUAUAAUAAAACGUCAGGUCAAAGUGCAGCCUAUAAUUAAGAGGAGAUGGGUUACAAUCUCAAUAAAGAAUACGAACAGAGAAAAUAAAUUAGCUCUUGAAGGUGGACUUAACAGUAAUUAUUUAUAAUAUAAUGAAAAUCAUAUAGGACAAGU
rnacentral:rRNA from 1 species